UGGAUCCUGGAUCGUCUGCUGUAGAAAUUCACCGAGACGUGUUCAGCGAGGAGUUAAUUGUUCAGUGCGUUCCGUUUUAAACAUUCUUUUGGCUACUCGUUAAUACACUAAAAUUUGCCAUUUAUUCGUACCAACCUGAGCGACACUUUUUCACGACACACACGAUUGUUUGAAAGUUGAUUUUUCACUAGACGUCAUUUGAAUUGUUUUCAUAUCUUUAGGUGCAGUUCCUAUCCACAGCCCCCAGUCCUACUCUCCUACAGUGUGCAAAAAUAGACAGUUGAAAAAGUCUUCUUAUUGUGCUAAUCUGCACAAUGCCAGAUUCAUGACUACUCUGUAUUAAAAUACUCUUUCCUUAAGAAAAUUUGCAGCUGUGGAUUUUCUUUAGAUGACUCUUGUAUCGGAAAUAUUUUCCUGUUUCUUGGAACCAGGAACAUAGGACGUCUUGAUGCCAACCAAGUGUCAUUGGAAAGAUUGUAAAUGAUGUUAAGCUGGAGAAACCUAAAGUUGGAGGACAAUACAUUUGUUUCCCGUUACUAGUUUUGUAAAACAAAUGCUUCCCAGGCAGACACCCAUCCACGAAGCCAUGGGUGAUAGAUGAUAUCCACUGCGGGCAAAACUGCGUUUUAAAUUGGUAUCACUUUUACAAAACCAAUCAGCAGAUUUAGAUCACUUGUCUAUUCUGAAAGAGAUCAUGUGUCUCAACGAAAAUGGCUCUCCGUUUGCGACAUCAGACCUCUCCAGUGUGUCAUUCUUAUGCAGAACUCUUGAAAUCAAGUUGAAAGUUUAAAACCAUCUCAGGAAAAUCUCAGGAAAUCUCACAAAACCAGGAAAAGUUGGCCCUUCUUCAAAUUAAUAAAGUCAAAUAAGACUAAAACUCAUGGUUCAAUUAUUUGGACACUUUACAGAAAGAAGAUUUAAAUGCCUCCAAAAAAAGAAGCUACCCAAGAAUCUAAACCUCUUAUUGGAUGUAUUGGUACAAGUCUGAAAAUAGUUGGACUCCUGGCUGUUGGCAAGUCUACCUUUUUCAAUGUGCUAACAAAAAGUGCAGCACCUAUAGAGAAUUUCCCACUUUGCACCAUUGAUCUGAAUGAAAAUAAGUGUUCUUUUAGUGUUUAUAAACACAAAUUUUGGUAACUGUCAUAUUAAACUUUUGGUCUGGUGUUCAAAUAAGGUAGCAGUUCCAGAUGAAAGGUUUGAUUGGUUGCUUCAGCAUUAUAAACCCUCAAAGUAAAGUUUGAAGAAUCAUAUCAUUCAUCCAUUGUAUUCUUGAUUGUUUUUCACUUCAUCACAGUCCCAAAUUCACUAUUUACUGGAUCAGAAGCUCAUACAGCUGGCAGCAACAGAAAUUAUGUUCAUACUAAAGGCAGUCUUUCUUAAGUGUUAUAUUUACAAAACAUGCAUGACUGUGGAUGUAAUGAAUAUUUGAUAAACAUACCAUAAAU
rnacentral:lncRNA from 1 species